AUUGAACGCUGGCGGCAUGCCUUACACAUGCAAGUCGAACGGUAACAGGUCUUCGGAUGCUGACGAGUGGCGAACGGGUGAGUAAUACAUCGGAACGUGCCUAGUAGUGGGGGAUAACUACUCGAAAGAGUGGCUAAUACCGCAUGAGAUCCACGGAUGAAAGCAGGGGAUCGCAAGACCUUGUGCUACUAGAGCGGCCGAUGGCAGAUUAGGUAGUUGGUGGGAUAAAAGCUUACCAAGCCGACGAUCUGUAGCUGGUCUGAGAGGACGAUCAGCCACACUGGGACUGAGAAACGGCCCAGACUCCUACGGGAGGCAGCAGUGGGGAAUUUUGGACAAUGGGCGCAAGCCUGAUCCAGCAAUGCCGCGUGCAGGAUGAAGGCCUUCGGGUUGUAAACUGCUUUUGUAUGGAAUGAAAAGCCCUGGGUUAAUACCCUGGGGUCAUGACGGUACCGUAAGAAUAAGCACCGGCUAACUACGUGCCAGCCGCCGCAGUAAGAC
rnacentral:rRNA from 1 species